GGGGCUGUAGCUCAGAUGGGAGAGCACCUGCUUUGCAAGCAGGGGGUCACCGGUUCGAUCCCGGUCAGCUCCACCA
rnacentral:tRNA from 1 species